rnacentral:rRNA from 1 species
CAGUCGCCACGGUAAUACGAAGGGUGCAAGCGUUACUCGGAAUUACUGGGCGUAAAGCGUGCGUAGGUGGUGGUUUAAGUCCGUUGUGAAAGCCCUGGGCUCAACCUGGGAAUUGCAGUGGAUACUGGAUCACUAGAGUGUGGUAGAGGAUAGUGGAAUUUCCGGUGUAGCAGUGAAAUGCGUAGAGAUCGGAAGGAACAUCUGUGGCGAAGGCGACUAUCUGGGCCAACACUGACACUGAGGCACGAAAGCGUGGGGAGCAAACAGGAUUAGAUACCCCGGAGUCCCUGUCUCUUAUACA